ACGCUCGACACCUACGGGGGGCAGCAGUGGGGAAUAUUGCACAAUGGGGGGGACCCUGAUGCAGCGACGCCGCGUGAGGGAAGAAGGUUUUCGGAUUGUAAACCUCUGUCCUUGGUGACGAUAAUGACGGUAGCCAAGGAGGAAGCCACGGCUAACUACGUGUCAGCAGCCGCGGUAAUCUGAGCGGGCUGGCAAGGC
rnacentral:rRNA from 1 species